rnacentral:rRNA from 1 species
GACGAAGGAUGCAAGCGUUAUCCGGAUUCAUUGGGUUUAAAGGGAGCGUAGGUGGUUUAUUAAGUCAGUGGUGAAAGCCGGUCGCUUAACGAUCGAAUUGCCAUUGAUACUGGUAAACUUGAGUACAGAUGCUGUGGGCGGAAUAUGACAUGUAGUGGUGAAAUACAUAGAGAUGUCAUAGAACACCGAUUGCGAAGGCAGCUCACAAAACUGUAACUGACACUGAGGCUCGAAAGUGUGGGGAUCAAACAGG